UUUGUAACUGUGUGACUGAAGCAGUUCCAAAGUUGCUGAGUUACAAACAGAGGGCUCAACUCAUCCUGGGCCUGAGAGCAAGGAUGAUCUUGGAGUUGUUCCGCAAGGACCCACCCAACCUUCAGGACAUCCAACGUCUCCUGGAAAAGAUGAACAUCUUGGGGCAGCCAGAUGCAGAAGUGGAUGAGUCACAGGCUAACUUUUGGCGCUGGUCCAAACCCUGCUGAAAAACCCUUAUGAGAGGAAGCACUUCUUCCAGGAGGAGUUCCAUACACAGUAUGGCUCCAAGUAUGACACAGCACUGCAGGCCUUG